AUUGAACGCUGGCGGCAUGCUUUACACAUGCAAGUCGAACGGUAACAGGCCGCAAGGUGCUGACGAGUGGCGAACGGGUGAGUAAUGCAUCGGAACGUGCCCAGUCGUGGGGGAUAACUACUCGAAAGAGUAACUAAUACCGCAUACGAUCUAUGGAUGAAAGCGGGGGACCGUAAGGCCUCGCGCGAUUGGAGCGGCCGAUGUCAGAUUAGGUAGUUGGUGGGGUAAAGGCUCACCAAGCCAACGAUCUGUAGCUGGUCUGAGAGGACGACCAGCCACACUGGGACUGAGACACGGCCCAGACUCCUACGGGAGGCAGCAGUGGGGAAUUUUGGACAAUGGGCGCAAGCCUGAUCCAGCAAUGCCGCGUGCAGGAAGAAGGCCUUCGGGUUGUAAACUGCUUUUGUACGGAACGAAACGGCUCUGGUUAAUACCCGGGGCUAAUGACGGUACCGGAAGAAUAAGCACCGGCUAACUACGUG
rnacentral:rRNA from 1 species